AACGAACGCUGGCGGCGUGCUUAACACAUGCAAGUCGAACGAAGUAGCAAUACUUAGUGGCGCACGGGUGAGUAACACGUGGGAAUCUGCCCUAAAGUGGGGGAUAACAGCUGGAAACGGCUGCUAAUACCGCAUAAUCUCGAAAGAGCAAAGAUUUAUCGCUUUAGGAUGAGCCCGCGUCUGAUUAGCUAGUUGGUGAGGUAAUGGCUCACCAAGGCGACGAUCAGUAGCCGGUCUGAGAGGACGAUCGGCCACACUGGGACUGAGACACGGCCCAGACUCCUACGGGAGGCAGCAGUGGGGAAUUUUGGACAAUGGGCGCAAGCCUGAUCCAGCGACGCCGCGUGAAUGAUGAAGGCCUUCGGGUUGUAAAGUUCUUUUGGCAGGGAAGAUAGUGACGGUACCUGCAGAAUAAGCACCGGCAAACUCUGUGCCAGCAGCCGCGGUAAGACAGAGGGUG
rnacentral:rRNA from 1 species